rnacentral:rRNA from 1 species
GAUGAACGCUGGCGGCGUGCUUAACACAUGCAAGUCGAACGGUGACCGAGGGAGCUUGCUCCCUCCGGAUCAGUGGCGAACGGGUGAGUAACACGUGAGCAAUCUGCCCUGGACUCUGGGAUAAGCGUUGGAAACGACGUCUAAUACCGGAUACGAGGCGUGGGGGCAUCCCCAACGCCUGGAAAGAACUUCGGUCCAGGAUGAGCUCGCGGCCUAUCAGCUAGUUGGUGAGGUAACGGCUCACCAAGGCGACGACGGGUAGCCGGCCUGAGAGGGUGCCCGGCCACACUGGGACUGGGACACGGCCCAGAGCCCUACGGGAGGCAGCAGUGGGGAAUAUUGCACAAUGGGCGCAAGCCUGAUUCAGCAGCGCCGCGUGAGGGACGACGGCCUUCGGGUUGUAAACCUCUUUUAGCAGGGAAGAAGCGAAAGUGACGGUACCUGCAGAAAAAGCACCGGCUAACUACGUGCCAGCAGCCGCAGUAAUAC